UUUUUUUUUUUUUUUUUUUUUUUUUUUUUUUUAUGAAUUUGGUGUAUAAAAUACCUUGACAUUAGCAUACAGUAGUUAAUGAGCUAAAGUGACAUGUUUUAUUUUUUAAAACUAAACAUAGCAUUUCAAACAUUCAAUUUAGUUGGAAUUAAUUUCAAGUUUAUGAAUCUCAGGGAGAAAUUAAGUGUUACUGUAGUGCAUAAGUAUCGUAAAAAAGUCUUUGUAGAUGGUGAUGUUUGUGGGCAUGAAGGGCUCCAGAAACAGCUGACUUUAUGAACUUGUUCAUUAACCAUAAGGGCAGAGAUCUAGAGGAACAGCAAAAGCAAAGGAGGUGGAUUAGCAGAAUAUGCCAAUAGCUGAUGGAGUUAUCCAGGACGUGUUGCUGUGGAUUACCGUCUCUGCUGAGCUUUCGUGACACUGUCAGAGGCAUCUUCCAAUUAAUUUCAACACUAACUGCUACAGGAGAUCUACAACAACUGUUGGAAGAUGCUGGAACGAUAUGAGUUGGAUAAGCAACACCUGUUCUGGCAUUCUGAUUGGCUGUGGAUACUUCCAGGAGGUUGGCCAUCAGCUGACACCGGCUGGUACUGACCCGGUUCCUGCUCUGGUUCUGCUGGAGGUUCCUUAAGGGGUGCUUUCCUCUCCACCAUUGUCCUGUGCUGGUCAGGAGGAGUAAUGCUGAGGGUCAAUGACUCGAUGCAAUCUGCAGAUAGAAACUUUCUAAAGUAAUCUGAAUAAUUAACUUAGCUUAGUGCACUGUUUGACAACCAGGUCCAGUCAGAAUGGGUGUGUGAUUGAAUUUAAAGAAUUUUCUUGUAAAGUGCCUUGAGAUAACAUCACUUGUGAAUUGGUGCUGAAUAAAAGAACUGAA